AAAUUGAAGAGUUUGAUCAUGGCUCAGAUUGAACGCUGGCGGCAGGCCUAACACAUGCAAGUCGAACGGUAACAGGAAGCGCUUGCUGCUUCGCUGACGAGUGGCGGACGGGUGAGUAAUGUCUGGGAAACUGCCUGAUGGAGGGGGAUAACUACUGGAAACGGUAGCUAAUACCGCAUAACGUCGCAAGACCAAAGAGGGGGACCUUCGGGCCUCUUGCCAUCGGAUGUGCCCAGAUGGGAUUAGCUUGUUGGUGGGGUAACGGCUCACCAAGGCGACGAUCCCUAGCUGGUCUGAGAGGAUGACCAGCCACACUGGAACUGAGACACGGUCCAGACUCCUACGGGAGGCAGCAGUGGGGAAUAUUGCACAAUGGGCGCAAGCCUGAUGCAGCCAUGCCGCGUGUAUGAAGAAGGCCUUCGGGUUGUAAAGUACUUUCAGCGGGGAGGAAGGGAGUAAAGUUAAUACCUUUGCUCAUUGACGUUACCCGCAGAAGAAGCACCGGCUAACUCCGUGCCAGCAGCCGCGGUAAUACGGAGGGUGCAAGCGUUAAUCGGAAUUACUGGGCGUAAAGCGCACGCAGGCGGUUUGUUAAGUCAGAUGUGAAAUCCCCGGGCUCAACCUGGGAACUGCAUCUGAUACUGGCAAGCUUGAGUCUCGUAGAGGGGGGUAGAAUUCCAGGUGUAGCGGUGAAAUGCGUAGAGAUCUGGAGGAAUACCGGUGGCGAAGGCGGCCCCCUGGACGAAGACUGACGCUCAGGUGCGAAAGCGUGGGGAGCAAACAGGAUU
rnacentral:rRNA from 1 species